rnacentral:rRNA from 1 species
AUUGAACGCUGGCGGCAGGCCUAACACAUGCAAGUCGAACGAGUGGCGGACGGGUGAGUAAUGUCUGGGAAACUGCCUGAUGGAGGGGGAUAACUACUGGAAACGGUAGCUAAUACCGCAUACCAUCGGAUGUGCCAAGAUGGGAUUAGCUUGUUGGAGGGGUAACGGCUCAACAAGGCGACGAUCCCUAGCUGGUCUGAGAGGAUGACCAGCCACACUGGAACUGAGACACGUUGCAGACUCCUACGGGAGGCAGCAGUGGGGAAUAUUGCACAAUGGGCGCAAGCCUGAUGCAGCCAUGCCGCGUGUAUGAAGAAGGCCCUAGGGUUGUAAAGUACUUUCAGUCGGGAGGCGUUACCGACAGAAGAAGCACCGGCUAACUCCGUGCCAGCAGCCGCGGUAAUUC